rnacentral:rRNA from 1 species
UGGCCUACGGGACGCAGCAGUGAGGAAUAUUGGUCAAUGGGCGCAAGCCUGAACCAGCCAAGUCGCGUGAGGGAUGACGGUCCUAUGGAUUGUAAACCUCUUUUGUCGGGGAGCAAGGCCCGCCACGUGUGGCGGGAAGGAGAGUACCCGAAGAAAAAGCAUCGGCUAACUCCGUGCCAGCAGCCGCGGGAAUACGGAGGAUGCGAGCGUUAUCCGGAUUUAUUUGGUUUAAAGGGUGCGUAGGCGGAAGGUUAAGUCAGCGGUCAAAUGUCGGUGCUCAACACCGGCCGUCCGUUGCAACUGGG